UAAUUCAUUUACCCAGCAACAAUCAUUACAACAGCCACCAAGAGUUUGGAGCAAUCAAACUUCAUCUGAAGCACUAAUUCGGGAAGUCCUAACAAAGCAAGAAAUGAUCCUUGAGCAACAGACAUUUAUUUUGCGUCUUCUUCAAGCACGGCAAAACACCCAGGAUUGUGAAAUUGAAGAAGGGCUUCUGCCAGUGCAUGAUAUAGAAGCGCUACAAAACGUAGAAGUACAACUUAGUAAUGGAGAAUUCAAAGAGAGAUUGAUGAAUCACUUAAGUCUUAUUGGAGGGUGUUGCAUAAAGGAUGCAGUCUGGCGGCUAAUGAGGAAAACAAUUUCCAAUAGCCUUGCUAGAAACAUGAAUUGGAAGGGGUUGAAUGGGAAGACAUCAUUUGCAGCACUGCGAUUGAAGGAUGUGAUGAUUGGUAAAUGUAUAUGCAAACAUAUCAUAUGGGUCAUUAGCUGGACAAGGUGGUCGUUGAGAAGGAUAAAAUAUAUGGAACACCAGAACACUCAAAUAAACAAAUAAAUGUAAC